rnacentral:rRNA from 1 species
UACGGGGGGGGCAAGCGUUGUUCGGAAUUACUGGGCGUAAAGCGCGCGUAGGCGGCUUUUCAAGUCAGACGUGAAAGCCCCAGGCUUAACCUGGGAAUUGCGUUUGAUACUGUUAAGCUAGAGUGUGGAAGGGGCUACUGGAAUUCUUGGUGUAGCGGUGAAAUGCGUAGAUAUCAAGAGGAACACCUGCGGCGAAGGCGGGUUGCUGGGCCGACACUGACGCUGAAGCGCGAAAGCCGGGGGAGCGAACGGG